UACGUAGGGUGCGAGCGUUAAUCGGAAUUACUGGGCGUAAAGAGUGCGUAGGCGGUUCGUUAAGUCAGCUGUGAAAGCCCCGGGCUCAACCUGGGAACUGCGGUUGAAACUGGCGAACUAGAAUCUGGCAGAGGGGGGUGGAAUUCCACGUGUAGCAGUGAAAUGCGUAGAGAUGUGGAGGAACACCGAUGGCGAAGGCAGCCCCCUGGGCUGAGCAUUGACGCUCGAGGCACGAAAGCGUGGGAGCAAACAGGG
rnacentral:rRNA from 1 species